AGAGUUUGAUCCUGGCUCAGGACGAACGCUGGCGGCGUGCUUAACACAUGCAAGUCGAGCGGGGAUAACGGAACUGAAAGCUUCGGCCGGAAGAUCUGUUAUUCUAGCGGCGGACGGGUGAGUAACGCGUGAGCAAUCUGUCCCAGACAGGGGGAUAACACUUGGAAACAGGUGCUAAUACCGCAUAAGACCACGGGGUCACAUGGCCUUGAGGUAAAAGGAGCGAUCCGGUUUGGGGUGAGCUCGCGUCCGAUUAGCUAGUUGGCGAGGUAACGGCCCACCAAGGCGACGAUCGGUAGCCGACCUGAGAGGGUGAUCGGCCACAUUGGAACUGAGACACGGUCCAAACUCCUACGGGAGGCAGCAGUGGGGAAUAUUGGGCAAUGGGCGAAAGCCUGACCCAGCAACGCCGCGUGAGGGAAGAAGGUUUUCGGAUUGUAAACCUCUGUCCUCAGGGACGAAGGAAGUGACGGUACCUGAGGAGGAAGCCCCGGCUAACUACGUGCC
rnacentral:rRNA from 1 species